rnacentral:rRNA from 1 species
GAAUAUUGGGCAAUGGCCGAGAGGCUGACCCAGCCAUGCCGCGUGCAGGAAGAAGGCCUUCUGGGUUGUAAACUGCUUUUAUACGGGAAGAAAACGCUCUUGCGAGAGUAACUGACGGUACCGUAUGAAUAAGCACCGGCUAACCCCGUGCCAGCCGCCGCGGUAAUACGGAGGGUGCAAGCGUUGUCCGGAUUUAUUGGGUUUAAAGGGUGCGUAGGCGGCCCGUUAAGUCAGCGGUGAAAUCCCACGGCUCAACCGUGGAACUGCCGUUGAUACUGGCGGGCUUGAGUUCGGUCGAGGCGGGCGGAACUGGUGGUGUAGCGGUGAAAUGCAUAGAUACCACCAAGAACCCCGAUUGCGUAGGCAGCUCGCUGGGCCGAAACUGACGCUGAGGCACGAAAGCGUGGGGAGCGAACAGG